rnacentral:rRNA from 1 species
GACGGGGCCCGCACAAGCGGUGGAGCAUGUGGUUUAAUUCGAAGCAACGCGAAGAACCUUACCAGGUCUUGACAUCCCGAUGCUUAUUUCUAGAGAUAGAAAGUUACUUCGGUACAUCGGUGACAGGUGGUGCAUGGUUGUCGUCAGCUCGUGUCGUGAGAUGUUGGGUUAAGUCCCGCAACGAGCGCAGCCCCUAUUGUUAGUUGCCAUCAUUCAGUUGGGCACUCUAGCGAGACUGCCGGUAAUAAACCGGAGGAAGUGGGAUGACGUCAAAUCAUCAUGCCCCUUAUGACCUGGGCUACACACGUGCUACAAUGGUUGGUACAACGAGUUGCGAGUCGGUGACGGCGAGCUAAUCUCUUAAAGCCAAUCUCAGUUCGGAUUGUAGGCUGCAACUCGCCUACAUGAAGUCGGAAUCGCUAGUAAUCGCGGAUCAGCACGCCGCGGUGAAUACGUUCCCGGGCCUU